UACGUAGGGUGCGAGCGUUAAUCGGAAUUACUGGGCGUAAAGCGUGCGCAGGCGGUUCGUUGUGUCGGCGGUGAAAGCCCCGGGCUUAACCUGGGAAUGGCCGUUGAAACUGGCGAACUGGAGUGUGGCAGAGGGGGGUGGAAUUCCGCGUGUAGCAGUGAAAUGCGUAGAGAUGCGGAGGAACACCAGCGGCGAAGGCGGCUUUCUGGACCAAUACUGACGCUGAGACGCGAAAGCGUGGGGAGCAAACAGG
rnacentral:rRNA from 1 species